UCUGGUUGAUCCUGCCAGUAGUCAUACACUUGUCUUAAAGAUUAAGCCAUGCAUGUCUAAGUGCUUUGAUUGUCUUACAUUAGAUUGCAGACGGCUCAUUAUAACAGUUAUUGUAUUAUUGAGAUUACAUUAUAGGUGGAUACCUGUGGAAAUUCUAGAGCUAAUACAUGUCACAAAUAAUAUGUCACCUUGAUAUAUUGAGCUUUUAUUUUUUUCAAGUCAAAGUGUUCUGCACUGCGGGUGAUUCAUAAUAAUGCUUGGAGAUCGCUUUACAAGCGACAAAUCAUUCAAGUUUCUGACCUAUCAGUUAGUCAGUAGUGUAUUGGACUAUUGAGGCAUUGACGGGUAACAGAGAAUUAGGGUUCUGUUCCGGAGAGGGAGCCUGAGAAACAGCUACUACAUCUAAGGAAGGCAGCAGGCGCGUAAAUUACCCAAUUCUGAUUAAGAGAGGUAGUGACAAGAAAUCACAAUAUUUUGCCUUAGGGUUGAAUAAUUGUAUUGAGAACAGAGUAGACAUUUUAACGAUAAACUAUUGGAGGGCAAGUCUGGUGCCAGCAGCCGCGGUAAUUCCAGCUCCAAUGGUGUAUGCUAACAUUGUUGCAGUUAAAAAGCUCGUAGUCGAAUUUUUAAGGGAAUCAAUUUAAUGUGGUCUUAAUGAACUACAAGAAAGUAUGAUUUAUCUUAUUUUGUUCUUAUCUACCGUUGGAAUUCGUUUUCUGACAGUAAAUUAAGUUUGUGUUUACUUUGAGAAAAUUAGAGUGUUCUAAGCAGUCUUACGGCUUUAUCCUAAAGCAUGGAAUGAUAAGUAAUGACAUCGGUUAAUUUCUGUUGGUUUGAGAGGUUGAUGUAAUGAUUUAUAGAGUAAGUCGGAGGUAUUAGUAUUUUGUCGUUAGAGGUGAAAUUCCGGGAUCGACAAAAGACUAACAACUGCGUAAGCAUUUGCCUAGGAUUUGCUCCUUGAUCAAGAACGUAAGUUGGGGGAUCGAAGACGAUCAGAUACCGUCGUAGUCUCAACUUUAAACUAUAUCAGCUAGGGGUUGGCAAAUGUUUAUAUGACUUUGUUAGAACCUUAAGAGAAAUCAAAGCGUUUGGGUUCCGGGGGGAGUAUGGUCGCAAGGCUGAAACUUAAAGGAAUUGACGGAAGGGCACCACAAGAUGUGGAUCCUGUGGCUUAAUUUAUAGCUCUUUCUUGAUUCUAUGGGUGGUGGUGCAUGGCCGUUCUUAGUUGGUGGAGUGAUUUGUCUGGUUAAUUCCGUUAACGAACGAGACUAUUACCUGCUAAAUAGUAUAUUCUUUUGAUUAGGAUAAUUGCUUCUUAGAGGGACUGGCUUUGCAUAAAUUGCUGGAAGUUGGUAGCAAUAACAGGUCUGUGAUGCCCUUAGAUGUCCUGGGCAGCGCACGGGCUACAAUAGGAGAGUAAUUGAGCUUGUUACUACCUGGCUCGAAAAGGGCUGUGAAAUCUUAAAACUAUUCUUUAUUUGGGAUCGCGCUUUGAAAUUUUUACGUGUAAACCAGGAAUACCUAGUAAGUGUAUGUCAUCAACGUACACUGAAUACGUCCCUGCCCUUUGUACACACCGCCCGUCGCUCCUACCGAUUGGAUGAGUUGGUGAGUGGAUUGGAGUAAUAACAAUCUUCUUGAAUUAGAUGGUUGUAAUUUUUAAAAAUUUGCAAACUAGAUUAUCUAGAGGAAGGAGAAGUCGUAACAAGGUUUCCGUAGGUGAACCUGCGGAAG
rnacentral:rRNA from 1 species